GAAAAACAAUAAGAAGAGAGAAUAUAACAAGAAGCAUAUAGCCAUACAAUUUAAGGUCUCUAAGUUCUAUUACAAUUGGUAAGUACCUUACCAAAAACAAAAUUCUAAAUACCUAAUUCUUUCGGAUCGAGAAUAUUGUGCAGAAAUGGCGACGAUCAUUAGGAUACCCGAUGCUCUCCAACUCAACCAACACUGUUUGCCGGAAGAUAUGUUAUUCACAUGUAUCAUUGGACACAAAUGAUAAGAUUUAUAGUCGACACACUGCUUAGGUGUGUAAAACUAUAUUGCUGAUGAGUAUAAGACUGUAGAUAUCGAGAAGGACAGAUUUCGUAGUGGRUUGAAAAAUUAAUAAAUAUAUACAUACUAAAUGCUGUCGAGGAGAAGAAGAUACUACAGUUUGCGCCAGCGGACUACAGACUGUUUUACGAUUCGU